rnacentral:rRNA from 1 species
AGGGUGGGUUAAGUCCCGCAACGAGCGCAACCCCUGUUCUAUGUUGCCAGCACGUGAUGGUGGGGACUCAUGGGAGACUGCCGGGGUCAACUCGGAGGAAGGUGGGGAUGACGUCAAAUCAUCAUGCCCCUUAUGUCUUGGGCUUCACACAUGCUACAAUGGCCGGUACAAAGGGCUGCGAUACCGCGAGGUGGAGCGAAU